rnacentral:rRNA from 1 species
GAUGAACGCUGGCGGCGUGCCUAAUACAUGCAAGUCGAGCGAACGGACGAGAAUCUUGCUUCUCUGAUGUUAGCGGCGGACGGGUGAGUAACACGUGGCUAACCUACCUAUAAGACUGGGAUAACUUCGGGAAACCGUAGCUAAUACCGGAUAAUAUUUUGAACCGCAUGGUUCUAAAGUGAACGACGGUCUUGCUGUCACUUAUAGAUGUAUCCGCGCUGCAUUAGCUAGUUGGUAAGGUAACGGCUUACCAAGGCAACGAUGCAUAACCGACCUGAGAGGGUGAUCGGCCACACUGGAACUGAGACACGGUCCAGACUCCUACGGGAGGCAGCAGUAGGGAAUCGUGCGCAAUGGGCGAAAGCCUGACGGAGCAACGCCGCGUGAGUGAUGAAGGUCUUCGGAUCGUAAAACUCUGUUAUUAGGGAAGACCAUAUGUGUAAGUAACUGUGCACAUCUUGACGGUACCUAGUCAGAAAGCAACGGCUAACUACGUG